rnacentral:rRNA from 1 species
GAUGAACGCUGGCAGCAUGCCUAAUACAUGCAAGUCGACCUGACCUACGAGGUGCUUGCUGCUCGGAUGUUAGCGGCGUACGGAUCAGUCACCCGUGGUUGACCUACCUAUUAGAAUGGAAUACCUACACCAGACCGUAUCUAUUACCGGCUACUAUGUUUAACCACAUGUUUCAACGCUGUGAGAGAGUUUUGCUGCCCAUUAGCUAGUUGUUCAGGUAACGUUAGCUCAAGGCGAUGAUGCGUAGCUGACAUGGGAGGGUGGUCUGCCACACUGGAACGGUGACACGGCACAGACGCACACGGGAGGGAGCAGUAGGGAAUCGUGCGCAAUGGGCGAAAGCCUGACGGAGCAACGCCGCGUGAGUGAUGAAGGUCUUCGGAGUGUAAGACUAUGUUAUUAGGGAAGAAAAGAUGUUUAAGUAACUAUGCAAAUCAUGACGGUACCUAAUGAGAAAGUCACGGCUAACUACGUG